UUGAAAGGGAAACGAUUGAAGUCAGUCGUACCAGCGGGAAUCAACCUUUCGAGUGGGGGUUUUGGAGUUUUGAAGAGUUUCAAAACCUUUGAGAUUUCAAAAAUUUCGCUCUUUUGGUGUACUUUCUCGUGGGUAGGUUAACAUCGAUUUUGAUCAUCAUAAAAAGAUUGGAGGAAUGUAGCUUCGAUCUUGUAUUGAAGUGUUAUAGCCUUUGGUAAAUGUGAUGAUUAGGAUCGAGGAUUGCAACGAAUACCCUUUUGGGCUAUCCGCCUGAUCUCUGAUACGUGGCCUUGGUAUCGAAAGCUUGCUUAUGGUAUUGAGGUAUUACGGUCAAAAGGUUAGAACGGAUUACAUUCGUUAAGGAUGUUGACGUA
rnacentral:rRNA from 1 species